rnacentral:misc_RNA from 1 species
UAAUAAGUGUUCUAUGGCACUUUUUAAAUCCAUAUCCACCUUGUGUGCAAUGUCAGUCGAUCUUCUUCAUGGAGAUCGACCAAACAUCAACCUUUAUCUUUUAACUCUUUGUCUGAAAAAUAUUAUGAAUAAACAAUUCAAAAUA